AGAUUAUCCUGCCAUGUAAAAUAAGCUGCUCCCCAAAGGACUGUGUCAAGAUUGGUUUUAAAUAGAAAAUAUCUAUUUUAAAUAUAUUUAGAUUAUAAUUGCCUGGGGGUUGGCAAACUUUUUCUGUAAAGGGCCAGAUACUAAAUACCUUAGGCUGUACGGGCCUUCAGAUCUCUGUCACAACUGUUCACCCGCGCGGUGUAGUGUGAAGGCAUCCACAUACAAAAUGUAAACACACAGGUGUGGCUGUUCUAAUAAAACCUCACCAAACAGGCAGCACAGGCCACAGUAUGCUGACCUCUGCACUAGCCUCAUCUCAGGUUAACUGUCCUCUAGUUAUUAAAAAAGAAACCCAAAAUUAAGUUACACAAAAGUAAUUUUUAAAAACUACUUUGGACGUUAAAAUGGGGCCAAAGGUAGAAUCCACGGAGGUAAAAGUUCUUGACGAGCAGUCAGGAAAUCUGAAUGAUUCUGUCCUUUGUUCUGCCCAUAACCAGCUGUGAGCUCUUGGGCAAAUCACAUAUUCCCUCUGCGAUUCCAUUAUUGCAUCUCUAAUCUGAAAAAGUAGAGGAGGGAUUCCAUCCAAUUUUGUUACUAUAAAUUUCAGUUCAAGCAAACUUACUCCCACUGUUACCAACAAAAGUUUCAAAAGACUCAUUUAAAUAAUUUAUAACAUAGUUCUGGUUAGGCAUGAUGAGCUAAAAAUGAGAGUUGGGGUAUUAAAAGCAAACAAAAAAAGCUGAAAUAUGAAGAC
rnacentral:lncRNA from 10 species